rnacentral:rRNA from 1 species
AUGAACGCUAGCGGCAGGCUUAACACAUGCAAGUCGAGGGGCAGCGAGGGUAGCAAUACCUGUCGGCGACCGGCGGAAGGGUGAGUAACGCGUGAGCAACAUACCCGUAUCAGUGGGAUAAUACAGGGAAACUUGUUCUAAUAUCGCAUAAUAUUAUUCAGAGGCAUCUUUGGAUAAUUAAAGUUACGGCGGAUACGGAAUGGCUCGCGUGACAUUAGUUAGAUGGUAGGGUAAUGGCCUACCAUGGCGAUGAUGUCUAGGGGUUCUGAGAGGGAGGUCCCCCACACUGGAACUGAGACACGGUCCAGACUCCUACGGGAGGCAGCAGUGAGGAAUAUUGGACAAUGGAUGGAAAUCUGAUCCAGCCAUGCCGCGUGCAGGAAGGCGGCCCUAUGGGUUGUAAACUGCUUUUGUACGGGAGCAAUAAGGUCUACGAGUAGAUUGAUGAGAGUACUGUACGAAUAAGCAUCGGCUAACUCCGUG